rnacentral:lncRNA from 1 species
CGACAGCCACCACCGUCGUCGGCUGCCGCUGCCUCGCCCAAGGCCGACUCUGCUGCCAAACAUCGAACGCUGCUGCUGUAGGGAGGCCGGCGAACAGCCGGGUGUUCGCCGUUUCCAGUUCUUCUCCGAGUUCCGAAGCCGGUGAGAGCUCCAUCAUCGCGUCGUCUCGUUCGUCUCUCGGUUCAGGCGAAGUCGCCCCUGCUCAGCUGGACGACCUCCGCCUCCUCUUCAUCGGUCCGCGUCGACGUCAUUUGGUACCCGUCCCCGGUUUAAUGAAAUCAGGUACAACAAAAUACUAUUCUUAUCUUCCCUAAAAUACUAGAUUCAGUUACUCUAAAUCGUGAAGGAAAACUCAUUCUAUAAUCUAUGUCUUUCAUGUUACUAGUGCAAGGGGGAGCAUCAUAGAAUGGGAUUCAAUUUCUGUAAAAAUACUAUGGAUUAAUCUUAUUACAGCAACUCGUGGUUUGCUUAUGACCCAUGUGUACGUAUAUUACUCAUUUAUGCACUCUGCAUUUCAUAAACUGAGCAUGUUUGUUGGUAUGAAUGUGGACUGGAUAAACUGGGAUAGUAUAUAUACCUUGAAUGAUGCUUGCUUUGGUUAGAGGUUGCAGUCGGACCAAAAGACGCGGCAGAUCGAACUGAAAAAAAUGACAAGUAUAUGUGGUUGCUUAAUGAAUGCAGGUGAAUAUCAAGGUGGGGGUGGACGAAUUUACACAAGGUCUCACCUUGAACUUGGCAGGGCACCGAAUGAAGAGCUCCUUCCGGUUUUGCUAGAAACCUUAAGUGUGGAAUGAGAAUGAAGUUCUUGUUUGCUGCAAAGAGAGGUAAAAAGGGAGGAGGGCUGUAUUGUUGGGGUGCGAGAAUGCAGCAGGCUCAAGAGAAGUUAGGGGAGUGUGCAGCACAUGUCUCCACCCCCUUUUUCUUUUUCCCA